rnacentral:tRNA from 1 species
AUGUUGGUGGUAUAGCGGUUAGUAUAGCUGCCUUCCAAGCAGUUGACCCGGGUUCGAUAACGGCCGACGCA